GGCUCAGAACGAACGCUGGCGGCGUGCCUAACACAUGCAAGUCGAGCGGGGACAUACGACGGAUAGGAAGUUUCGGAUGGAAUUGAAGAUGUAUUGUUCUAGCGGCGGACGGGUGAGUAACGCGUGAGCAACCUGUCCCUUACAGGGGGAUAACACAGCGAAAGUUGUACUAAUACCGCAUAAGACCACGGUGAGACAUCUCACAGGGGUCAAAGGAGCAAUCCGGUAAGGGGUGGGCUCGCGUCCGAUUAGAUAGUUGGUGAGGUAACGGCCCACCAAGUCGACGAUCGGUAGCCGACCUGAGAGGGUGAUCGGCCACAUUGGGACUGAGACACGGCCCAAACUCCUACGGGAGGCAGCAGUGGGGAAUAUUGGGCAAUGGGGGGAAACCCUGACCCAGCAACGCCGCGUGAGGGAAGAAGGUUUUCGGAUCGUAAACCUCUGUCCUUGGUGAAGAGGAAGAGACGGUAGCCAAGGAGGAAGCCCCGGCUAACUACGUGCCAGCCGCGGC
rnacentral:rRNA from 1 species